UGACUGUAUAGCACGAAAGUUGGCGUUGGCGGGCGGCUCAACAAUCGAUCGUGGUGUUAUUUUGUAGUUUUGAGAUGGACAUCCUUUAAGAUGUGAGCGGGAUGCAGGACACCAGAGCGGUGAAUUAUGCCGUUGCCAUGAGAGUGGACUGAUCGAGGCACUUUUUAAGGUGGCCACAGAGAUGGAGAGUCCUUCUAAGAUUGAGAGGCGCCAGGCGUGGGCAAGCAGCCGCCGCAAGUUUACCGUAAAAGAUGCAGAACACCGCAGCCCAACAGCAGAACAUCAGUCUCAUUUCUCUCUCCAAGAUGAUGUCUUUGUGGAUGGAUGCUCUGCUGGAAAGAUUGAAACCUGGCUUCAAGGUUGUGGGUGAGUGUUUGUGUGAAUGCUUUCUAUAAAAGACAGGCAUUGUGUGUCAGUUGUAAUACAAUGACGGCAAGUGAGUGGAAAACCACAAAUG
rnacentral:lncRNA from 1 species